rnacentral:misc_RNA from 1 species
GGAAGGAUCAUUAUUGAAAUAAACCUGAUGGGUUGUUGCUGGUUCUCUAGGGAGCAUGUGCACGCCUUGUCAUCUUUAUAUCUCCACCUGUGCACCUUUUGUAGGCCUUCCAGGUCUAUGUUUGCCUCAUUUAACCCCAUGUUAAUAGAAUGUUGUUGUGCCUAUAUAAUAUACAACUUUCAGCAACGGAUCUCUUGGCUCUCGCAUCGAUGAAGAACGCAGC